UACGUAGGGUGCAAGCGUUGUCCGGAAUUAUUGGGCGUAAAGGGCUCGUAGGCGGUCCAUCGCGUCGGGAGUGAAAAGCUGGGCUUAACCCCAGUCCUGCUUCCGAUACGGGUGGACUAGAGGUAGGUAGGGGAGAUCGGAAUUCCUGGUGUAGCGGUGAAAUGCGCAGAUAUCAGGAGGAACACCGAUAGCGAAGGCAGCUCGCUGGGACGGUACUGACGCUGAUGCACGAAGGCCAGGGGAGCAAACGGG
rnacentral:rRNA from 1 species